rnacentral:rRNA from 1 species
UACGAAGGGGGCUAGCGUUGCUCGGAAUCACUGGGCGUAAAGCGCACGUAGGCGGCUUUUUAAGUCAGGGGUGAAAUCCUGGAGCUCAACUCCAGAACUGCCUUUGAUACUGGGAAGCUUGAGUCCGGGAGAGGUGAGUGGAACUCCGAGUGUAGAGGUGAAAUUCGUAGAUAUUCGGAAGAACACCAGUGGCGAAGGCGGCUCACUGGCCCGGUACUGACGCUGAUGCGCGAAAGCCAGGGGAGCGAACGGG